UCACCCCCAGCAUCCUCUGGGUGACUCACUUCCAAGACCCAGGCCUGGGGACCUGUUUUGCUGCCCUUGGUGGGACUCACGUUCCUGCACAACAGGGCUACAUAUGAAGGCUGGGCAGCCCCUGCCCCACCACAGCAGCCUCUCACAGGACCGGCAAGCUGGAGGGUGCAGAUGCUUCAGACACACCAGCUCCAUGAACACAUUCCCAGAUGCGCACAGGCUGCAGAAGGAACGCGUUUCUGGCCUGCCUAGGGGUCACACAGCCAGGGCCUGCUGAAGGAGAGCAGAGGGGGCCCACAGGGAGAGGCCAGGGCCCCCCAGUAACCGUGAGUGGGGGUUAGGGGCUGCGGGGGCAGCAAGGGGAGCUCCCCUGUUCUCCAAGAGGCCUGGCAGUAGGGCCAGGACCCAGCCUCCCGCCCAAUUUUCUCUCUCCCCAGACCUCUGGCCAACCCAGAUUCUGACCAGUGCCUGGAAAUUCAAGAGGGAUUCACUUCAACCUCCGAAGUCCAGGGUGUGGUGAGAAAAGGGAGUCCUCCUCUCUGGAAAAAAAAGAUUCAAAAGCACUUAGUUGUCCCAGAAGAAGAACAGACCAAGCCCUCGCUGAAGACCAUCCAGCUCUAAGGCCGCUAACUCCGCUACCUGUCUCUCAGCCCCGAGAAUGGAGUGCAGGGUCUCCAGGGUCUCCAGCUCUUGUGGGCCUCACCCCCAGCUCCCAGGCUCUGAGCCGAGGGCCGAGCGCUCCCCAGGGCCUGCACGGCCCUCAGUCUGGGACUGCUCUGGGACUGUCUGGAGCCAAAGUGGCUUGAGGCACCUUGUGGAAAAACCAUUUCCCAUCUGGCAGCCCACAGAAAUUUCCUCAGCAUAUGCUCUGCUGGUGAGGCUCCCCAGUCCGCAGGUCUCAGAGCGCUCAGACAAAGAAGGCUGGCUGACCGCAGGAAAAAGGGAAAGUACCCAGAGGAACACUCUCCUGAGACCACCAUAUAAAGAAGUCAAUCUGUCCUAGAGGAUGACAGACCACAUGAAGGAGAACGGAGACCUCCAGCCAACAGACAGACAUGUGAAUGAGGACAUCUUGGACUUUCUACCUCAGGAGUUGCAUAAGUGAGCCAGAUCCCUCUGUCACCCUGCCACCACAAGGAUCUUAUACAUCCUGGAUGUCACUACUGCCGGCCCAGACCAAGGAUAAAAUCUACACAUCUAGGCAGAUCAUGCCCAGCCCUGCUUGCUCUGGUUGGCCUCAUCUUUUCCUGUUCCCCACAAAAGUCACACGGAAGCACAGACUUGUCCUUCUUGGUGAGAUCCUGGUAUUCUGCCCAGCCUGCUACUCCUCCUGGAAUACCCCUUUCGUCCUCUCAGCAACUCCAAAUCCUCCAUAUCCCUGGGGACUCAGCAUGGUGUUGUAACUGCCCCUGGUAAGUGCUCUGAUUCCAGCCCACUGCCAAGGCAGAGAGUCCUGCUCUGGGCUUCCAUGUUGUAUAUAGGGCUUACCCCAUAGGAGAGCUGAUCAGACUGUUAACCUCUCCUUCAUUCUUUUAAUUUUGUAUCCUGAGCGCCUAGCCCACAGCAGGAAGUCAAUAUAUAUCCACUGACAGAAGUGAAGAAAGGUUCAUUCCCCAACACUCUGAUAGCACAAAUGCACACAAUUAAAUAUUUGAAUUUGCAGAACAAAUCGUGGUGGAAGUCAGUCUGCUUGCCUCUUUCUCCAACCUCCCAUUCCCUGUACCCUGAAACCCCUAUGCACUGUGGCCAAGACCUGAAGCCCCCUCAACACAUCCCUAGCC